AGGGUGUAAACGCUGCAGACUUGGUGUUGGAAGUCCUUUGGGGGCAUUCAGUGCCGGAGAGAAGUUGUUAAGUCUGCUACUUGGGGAGUACGUCCGCAAGGAUGAAACUUAAAGGAAUUGGCGGGGGGAGGCACCGCAACGGGAGGAGCGUGCGGUUUAAUUGGAUUCAACACCGUAAAACUCACCAGGGAAGACUGUUACAUGAAAGCCGAGAUGAAGACUCUGCUAGAUUUUCAGAGAGGAGGUGCAUGGCGUCAGUGACU
rnacentral:rRNA from 1 species